CAAGUAACAGAGGGCAGAGUUGAAGAAUUUAAAGAUGUCAUUUGAAGCAGUUAGGAGAAGUAUCGAAGGCAUUGAUCCAUUUAGAAAAAAUAUUUUUGGUGUGUUAUUUAUUUGGAAAUUCACACAAUCAAAAAGAUUCAGUAAUAUUUUCAUUACACAGCAGUAAUUGGACGGAAAUGGACAUGAAGUGUAAAAAACUGAUAUCAUUAACAAUGCAAAUGAAUAAUGCUAACUAUAAAAAGUUAAGAUUCACUAGAACAAAAAUUGUAAACUUGGAAAUGUUUUUUAAGGAAAUCAUCGACAUAUGAUUAACACACGACGUCGCUCAGAUAACGCAAAGCGUGGGAAGAAGCGGAUGCAGGUGACGCUGACCAGCAGGGACCUGCCGGUAUCGCGGGGGUCUCUGGACGAUAUAUAAGGGGAUCCAGAUUAGGGACAUUUCAGACGUGAUCCACCAGAGUUAGAGCGAGCACCUUCACGUCACCCAGAUCAAUAGUUUUGUCAUUUGGACUUAGAAUAUUUUUCACAAGUUUAAUUAUUUAAUUAAUUGGACUUAGAAUAAUUUUUAAUAAAAAACACUUAGAAUAAUUUCAAGAGUCUUCAUUUAUUUUACAACAACCUAUCCGAUACGACAUCAUUCUACUGUU